rnacentral:rRNA from 1 species
ACGAACGCUGGCGGCGUGCUUAACACAUGCAAGUCGAACGGAGUUACGUAUGAAGUAUUUCGGUACGGACUACAUAACUUAGUGGCAACGGGUGAGUAACACGUGGGCAACCUGCCCUUAACCGGGGGAUAACAUUGUGAAAACAGUGCUAAUACCGCAUAACAGAGUAUCGGGCAUCCGAUAUUUUAAAAGGAGCAAUCCGGUUUAGGAUGGGCCCGCGUCCAAUUAGCUAGUUGGUGAGGUAACGGCUCACCAAGGCUACGAUUGGUAGCCGAACUGAGAGGUUGAUCGGCCACAUUGGGACUGAGACACGGCCCAGACUCCUACGGGAGGCAGCAGUGGGGAAUAUUGGGCAAUGGGCGAAAGCCUGACCCAGCGACGCCGCGUGAAGGAUGAAGGUCUUCGGAUUGUAAACUUCUUUGAUCAGGGAAGAAAGAAAUGACGGUACCUGAAGAACAAGCCACGGCUAACUACGUG